rnacentral:rRNA from 1 species
CCUGGCGGCGGCCUACACAUGCAGUCGAGCGGAUGAAAGGAGCUUGCUCCUGGAUUCAGCGGCGGACGGGUGAGUAAUGCCUAGGAAUCUGCCUGGUAGUGGGGGACAACGUUUCGAAAGGAACGCUAAUACCGCGUACGUCCUACGGGAGAAAGCAGGGGACCUUCGGGCCUUGCGCUAUCAGAUGAGCCUAGGUCGGAUUAGCUAGUUGGUGAGGUAAUGGCUCACCAAGGCGACGAUCCGUAACUGGUCUGAGAGGAUGAUCAGUCACACUGGAACUGAGACACGGUCCAGACUCCUACGGGAGGCAGCAGUGGGGAAUAUUGGACAAUGGGCGAAAGCCUGAUCCAGCCAUGCCGCGUGUGUGAAGAAGGUCUUCGGAUUGUAAAGCACUUUAAGUUGGGAGGAAGGGUUGUAGAUUAAUACUCUGCAAUUUUGACGUUACCGACAGAAUAAGCACCGGCUAACUCUGUGCCAGCAGCCGCGGUAAU